rnacentral:RNase_P_RNA from 17 species
UGAGUAAGACAGAUGGUCGCGGCUGCAGAACCGAAAGGCUGCAGGUGAGGAAAGUCCGGGCUUCACAGGGCAGGAUGCCAGAUAACGUCUGGUGGAGGCGACUCCAAGGACAGUGCAACAGAAAUGUACCGCCCGGUUUACCGGGUAAGGGUGGAAGGGCAGUGUAAGAGACUACCGCCCGGCUGGUAACAGCCGGGGCACAUGUAAACCCCAUCCGAAGCAAGACCGAACAGAGAGCGCAAGGCGGCCCGUCUGCUCUCGGGUAGGUCGCUUGAGCCUGCUGGCGACAGCAGGACUAGAUAGAUGACCAUUCAACGACAUAACCCGGCUUACCGUUUUGCUCAAAUC